GACGAACGCUGGCGGCGUGCUUAACACAUGCAAGUCGAGCGGUAAGGCCCUUUCGGGGGUACGACGAGCGGCGAACGGGUGAGUAACACGUGGGUGACCUGCCCUCAGCUCUGGAAUAAGCCUGGGAAACCGGGUCUAAUACCGGAUAUGACUCCAUGACGCAUGUUGUGGGGUGGAAAGCCUUGUGCGGCUGAGGAUGGGCCCGCGGCCUAUCAGCUUGUUGGUGGGGUGAUGGCCUACCAAGGCGACGACGGGUAGCCGGCCUGAGAGGGCGACCGGCCACACUGGGACUGAGACACGGCCCAGACUCCUACGGGAGGCAGCAGUGGGGAAUCUUGCGCAAUGGGCGAAAGCCUGACGCAGCGACGCCGCGUGAGGGAUGACGGCCUCGGUGU
rnacentral:rRNA from 1 species